GAGUUGGCGCUGCCGCUCGAUUGACGGCGGUGGUAACUGAGAUGGAGUGGGAGUCGAGAGAGAGGGGUGAGGCCGAGCGGCGAUUUCGCCGGUGGUUGAAACUGGAGGGGAUGGCUCCCUCUUUUUCUUUGCGUAUUAUCAGAACUCGAUGUGGCUCGAGUUUGCAGGUAGAGAAGAGAAGAACGGGGGCGGCGAGCUUGAAGGCGGCUCACUGCUUGAUCGAGACGGAGAGAAUGAGAGGAGCCUUGGGACGGCGGCGGCUCACUGCUCUCGCCGGAGGACAGGGGGAGGCGGCGGCGGUUCUUCUCUCCUGGCCAAGGGUGGACCUUGGCGGUGGCCACCCGCAGUUUUAGGCUGACCUCGCACUCAACAACAAUUUCAAGUUACAAUCCGUCUUGAAUUCUGGCUCGAAUGUGACUAUUUCAAACUUUUCAAGUAGGAUUUACAGCUGAAAUCAGGGAGUUAAGAGAGGUAUCUGAGAGGGAUAGGGAGUUGAGCGGCCAGAGAGGCGAGGUGGGCGGCGGCAACCGGGCGUCGCCGACGACCGCUGCUGAUUUGUGCAGCGAAGGAGACGAGCUGGGGGAGUUAAGUCCAGCAGCUCUCCGCCGGAGACUUCGAAUGCAGCAGCAGGGGUUCAAUUAGGUGGGUUCGUUGAAUUCUUGACGGUUUGCUUGUAUUGAGCCCAUGUCGACGUUGGGAACUGAUUGGGUUUUACCGCUGGAUUGAAUUGAUUUGGCUAUAUGAAAAUUCUUAUUUUUGUUCGAGUGAAUCCAUUCCAGCCCAGCGACACUGCCGCAUCUCCUAAGGUGCUGCCGAUGUCGACGUAAUUUAUUCGGGACUGUGGGAGCUGUGAAGGAGUGAGUGAGUUUUGCAGUAGGGAGGAAGCAGGAGAGAAAUCUCUGUAGAGGUUUUGGGCUCUGUAGCAACGACUAGCUUGGGAGAGAGAGAGCAGAGAAGUAACAAGAUAAAAAAGGUUUAGCGGCUUCACUUCAUCUGCUGCGUUGUAUUUGUCGAUUGUAUCUCGUCAUUGUUCGUCGAUUCAGUGUCUGAUUUUGUGGAGUUGCCAAAGGAUUAGUCAAAAUAUGUCUUAGAUCCUUGUAUCUAUUCUUCGUGUAAAAGUCCAGAAGAACUUAUGGCUGAAUAUUUAUCAAAACUUCUAUUUGUGUCUCGUA